GACGCUCCCCUUAUGAUACUGGAAGUGAAACAGAACCCUUCUCUACAUUGACUUCCAAAUUCCAGCCUUUUUCUGCUGCCUCUCUCUUUAGUUCCUGGAUUUGAGCCUCUAUUUGAAAGCAUGCCACUUGGAUUUCCAUAUUUUUUUCACAAAGCUCCUUCCAUUGCGUGGACAAAGCAUGGAGCUCAUAUGCAGCCUUUUGUUGAUGAAAUUUCCUUUCACGGUUCACUUUUUCAAUCUUCUCAUUCUGUUCUUGAGCUAAUUUUUGCAUUCUUGAUAGAAGUGCUUCCAACUGUUUGUUGUGUUGCUUCCAGAUAUCAG
rnacentral:misc_RNA from 1 species